UACAGAGGUCCCAAGCGUUGUUCGGAUUUACUGGGCGUAAAGGGCGCGUAGGCGGCCACCGCAAGUCAGUUGUGAAAUCUCUGGGCUUAACCCAGAAAGGUCAACUGAUACUGCGGGGCUAGAGUGCAGAAGGGGCAACUGGAAUUCUCGGUGUAGCGGUGAAAUGCGUAGAUAUCGAGAGGAACGCCUGCGGCGAAGGCGGGUUGCUGGGCUGACACUGACGCUGAAGCGCGAAAGCUAGGGGAGCGAACGGG
rnacentral:rRNA from 1 species